GACGAACGCUGGCGGCGUGCUUAACACAUGCAAGUCGAACGGAAAGGCCCUGCUUUUGUGGGGUGCUCGAGUGGCGAACGGGUGAGUAACACGUGAGUAACCUGCCCUUGACUUUGGGAUAACUUCAGGAAACUGGGGCUAAUACCGGAUAGGAGCUCCUGCUGCAUGGUGGGGGUUGGAAAGUUUCGGCGGUUGGGGAUGGACUCGCGGCUUAUCAGCUUGUUGGUGGGGUAGUGGCUUACCAAGGCUUUGACGGGUAGCCGGCCUGAGAGGGUGCCCGGCCACAUUGGGACUGAGAUACGGUCCAGACUCCUACGGGAGGCAGCAGUGGGGAAUAUUGCACAAUGGGCGGAAGCCUGAUGCAGCAACGCCGCGUGCGGGAUGACGGCCUUCGGGUUGUAAACCGCUUUCGCCUGUGACGAAGCGUGAGUGACGGUAAUGGGUAAAGAAGCACCGGCUAACUACGUG
rnacentral:rRNA from 1 species